rnacentral:rRNA from 1 species
CCUACGGGAGGCAGCAGUGAGGAAUAUUGGUCAAUUGGCGGGAGCCUGAACCAGCCAAGUCGCGUGAGGGAAGACGGUCCUAUGGAUUGUAAACCUCUUUAGGCGGGGAGCAAUGCCGGGCACGCGUGCCCGGAGGGAGAGUACCCGCAGAAUAAGCAUCGGCUAACUCCGUGCCAGCAGCCGCGGUAAUACGGAGGAUGCGAGCGUUAUCCGGAUUGAUUGGGGUUAAAGGGUGCGUAGGCGGAUGUUUAAGUCAGCGGUAAAAUGUCCGGGCUCAACCCGGGCCGGCCGUUGAAACUGGGGAUCUUGAGUGGGCGAGAAGUAUGCGGAAUGCGUGGUGUAGCGGUGAAAUGCAUAGAUAUCACGAAGAACUCCGAUUGCGAAGGCAGCAUACCGGCGCCCGACUGACGCUGAGGCACGAAAGCGUGGGGAUCGAACAGGAUUAGAUACCCGAGUAGUC